AGCGGGAAAGCUCAAUUUAAAAUCUGGCGGCUUUGGUCGUCCGAGUUGUAUCCUAGAGAAGUGUUUUCCGCGUUGGACCGUGUAUAAGUCUCUUGGAACAGAGCGUCAUAGAGGGUGAGAAUCCCGUCUUUGACACGGACUACCAAUGCUUUGUGAUACACUCUCAAAGAGUCGAGUUGUUUGGGAAUGCAGCUCAAAAUGGGUGGUAAAUUCCAUCUAAAGCUAAAUAUUGGCGAGAGACCGAUAGCGAACAAGUACCGUGAGGGAAAGAUGAAAAGCACUUUGGAAAGAGAGUUAAACAGUACGUGAAAUUGCUGAAAGGGAAACGAUUGAAGUCAGUCGCGUUAGCUAGAACUCAACCAGGCUUGCUUGGCGUAUUUUCUAGUUAACGGGCCAGCAUCAGUUUUGACUGCAGGAAAAAGGCCAGGGAAAUGUGGCACCUUCGGGUGUGUUAUAGUCUUUGGUCAUAUACUGCGAUUGGGACUGAGGUUCGCAGCACGCGCAAGCUGUGCUUAGGAUGCUGGCGUAAUGGCUUUAAACGACCCG
rnacentral:rRNA from 2 species